rnacentral:rRNA from 1 species
UGGUGGAGUGAUUUGUCUGGUUAAUUCCGAUAAAGAACGAGACUCUGUCCUGCUAACUAGGUUGUGUUUUCUCGGGUUGGUGUUUCUGGUGUUCCUUCUCGGGGCGCCGGCCCAAUCCACUUGUGAACACAACACUCUUCUUAGAGGGACUGGCGGCUGUUAGCCGCACGAGAUAGAGCAAUAACA